rnacentral:rRNA from 1 species
UACGGAGGGGGCAAGCGUUGUUCGGAUUUACUGGGCGUAAAGGGCGCGUAGGCGGUCGGUCAAGUUACUUGUGAAAUCUAUGAGCUUAACUCAUAACUGCCAAGUAAUACUGAUUGACUAGAGUGCAGAAGGGGCAACUGGAAUUCUUGGUGUAGCGGUGAAAUGCGUAGAUAUCAAGAGGAACACCGGAGGCGAAGGCGGGUUGCUGGGCUGACACUGACGCUGAGGCGCGAAAGCUAGGGGAGCAAACAGG